rnacentral:rRNA from 1 species
UUCCGUAGGUUGAACCUGCGGAGGGAUCAUUA